rnacentral:rRNA from 1 species
CUUGAUGAAAUAUAAGAGGUCCAGCCUGCCCAGUGACAGGAUUUAACGGCCGCGGUACCCUGACCGUGCGAAGGUAGCAUAAUCACUUGUUCUUUAAAUAAGGACUAGAAUCAACGGCAUCACGAGGGUCACACUGUCUCCUUUUCCCAAUCAGUGAAACUGAUCUCCCCGUGAAGAAGCGGGGAUAGUUAUAUAAGACGAGAAGACCCCAUGGAGCUUCAAACUCAACAUUUACCUCUUAUAAAUUACUUUGUAUACUAAGGGGCCUACUUGUUAGUUUUGGGUUGGGGUGACCGCGGAGAACAAUACAACCUCCACAAUGAAAAGAAUAAAAUCCUAAUCCAAGAGCCACAUCUCUAAGAGUUAUUAAAAUAGCAUAAAAUGACCCGAAUUUUUCGAUCAACGAACCAAGUUACCCUGGGGAUAACAGCGCCAUCCACUUCAAGAGCCCAUAUCGACGAGUGGGUUUACGACCUCGAUGUUGGAUCAGGGUAUCCCAGUGGUGCAGCCGCUACUAAAGGUUUGUUUGUUCAACAAUUAAAACCCU